rnacentral:lncRNA from 1 species
GCCAUCUAGAGAAUGAGAAGCUUGACUCUGAGCUCCAGCCUUUUUGAAAAGAGACAGGUCCCUGGGUCAUACCUCAAAGAGACAUAUACAAGAAGUCCUUGACCUUCUGAAUAUAUGCCUCAAUAAUGAUGCAGGAAAAACUGCCCCAAGGUAAGGGAGGAUGCUGGACUCUGAGACUCUGGUCAGCUGCUGUGAUUUCCAUGUUACUCCUCAGCACCUGCUUCAUCAUGAGCUGUGUGGUGACUUACCAAUUCAUGAUGGAGAAGCCCAAUAGAAGACUGUCUGAACUUCACACAUAUAAUUCUAAUUUCACCUGCUGCAGUGACGGGACUAUGGUUUCAGAUUCUGGCAUGAAGAUGAGCCCAACAAUGACUAUGAAAAAUGUGUUGAAAUAAAUCAUCAUAAGGAUAUUGGAUGGGGC